rnacentral:lncRNA from 1 species
CCAAAUCCCAUUUUCUCCCCAAUUCCAUGACCCAAAUCCCACCAAAUCCCAUUUUAUCCCCAGUUUAAGCCUCAAAUCCCACCAAAUCCCAUUUUUCUGCUCAGUUUAUGACCCAAAUCCCAACAAAUCCCAUUUUUAUCCCCAGUUUAUGACACAAAUCCUACAAAAUCCCAAUUAUAUCCUCAGUUUAUGGCACUCGAUGAUGGGUUGGGAGGACCUUUAGGAUCACAGAUCUGUGAGAUCCUACAGUGGAUGGGGUGGAGGGGACCUUUAAGAUCAUACCAGAAUGGGAUCCCAAAAGAGUUGGGUUUUAUGGACGUGAAAGACCAUAGAACUGUGGGAUCCUACAAUGGUUGGGGUGGAGAGGACCUUUAGGACCGUGGCUGCGUGGGAUCCCACAAGGUUAGGGUUGUAGGGAUCUCAAAGACCACAGAACUGUAGGAUCCUACAACGGUUGGGAUGGAGAGGACCUGUAGGAUCGUGGAACCACGGGAUCCUAUAAUGGUCGGGGUGGAAGGGACCUUAAAGAUCAUAACACCAAUAGAUCCUACAAGGGUUGGGAUGGGAGGACCUUUUGGAUCGUGGCACUGUGGGAUCCCACAAGGUUUGUGUUUUAAAGACGAUACAACCAUGAGAUCCUACAGUGGUUGGGUUGGGAGGAAUCUUUAGGAUCAUGGAAAUAUGGGAUCCUACAAUGGUUGGGGUGGAAGGGACCUUAAAGAUCAUAACACCACCUGAUCCUACAAGGGUUGGGGUGGAGGGGACCUUUAGGAUCGUGGCUGCCUGGGAUCCCACAAGGGUUGGGUUUUAGGGAUCUCAAAGACCACAGAACUGUGGGAUCCUACAGCGUUUGGGAUGGAGAGGACCUGUAGGAUCGUGGAACCACAAGAUCCUACAAUGGUUGGGGUGGAAGGGACCUUGAAGAUCAUAACACCACGGCAUCCUACAAGGGUUGGGGUGGGAGGACCUUUAGGAUCGUGGCAAUGUGGGAUCCCACAAGGGUUGGGUUUUAAAGACCAUACAACCAUGAGAUCCUACAGCGCUGUGCAAAGCUGUGAUGUGGAUUUUGGGUGAAAUAAAACCCAAAUUUGGGGGGAGAUU